rnacentral:rRNA from 1 species
GACGAACGCUGGCGGCGUGCCUAAUACAUGCAAGUAGAACGCACAGUUUAUACCGUAGCUUGCUACACCAUAGACUGUGAGUUGCGAACGGGUGAGUAACGCGUAGGUAACCUGCCUGGUAGCGGGGGAUAACUAUUGGAAACGAUAGCUAAUACCGCAUAAUAUUGAUUAUUGCAUGAUAAUUGAUUGAAAGAUGCUAUUGCAUCACUACCAGAUGGACCUGCGUUGUAUUAGCUAGUAGGUGAGGUAACGGCUCACCUAGGCGACGAUACAUAGCCGACCUGAGAGGGUGAUCUGCCACACUGGGACUGAGACACGGCCCAGACUCCUACGGGAGGCAGCAGUAGGGAAUCUUCGGCAAUGGACGAAAGUCUGACCGAGCAACGCCGCGUGAGUGAAGAAGGGUUUCGGAUCGUGAAGCUCUGUUGUAAGAGAAGAACGGGUGUGAGAGUGGAAAGUUCACACUGUGACGGUAUCUUACCAGAAAGGGACGGCUAACUACGUG